rnacentral:rRNA from 1 species
AACGUAGGUUCCGAGCGUUAUCCGGAUUUACUGGGCGUAAAGCGCGUUCAGGCGGUUUGGCAAGUCGGGCAUGAAAUCCUUCGGCUCAACCGGGGGAGGUUGUCCGAUACUGCUGAACUGGAGGGCAGUAGAGGGUGGUGGAAUUCCGGGUGUAGUGGUGAAAUGCGUAGAUAUCGUCAAGAACACCGAUAGCGAAGGCAGCUUACUAGACUGUAACUGACGCUGAGGCACGAAAGUGUGGGGAUCAAACAGG